rfam:Candida auris strain 6684 Scaffold34, whole genome shotgun sequence.
GGGCGUGUGGUCUAGUGGUAUGAUUCUCGCUUUGGGCGACGAUCUGGUACACCAGAUUGACAUACAAACAUGCGAGAGGCCCUGGGUUCAAUUCCCAGCUCGCCCC